rnacentral:snRNA from 1 species
GUGCUGGCUUCGGUGGCACAGAUACUAAAAUUGAAACAAUACAAAGAAGAUUAGCAUGGUCUCCGGGCAAGAUGACACGCAAAUUCGUGAAGUGUUCCAUAUUUUA